rnacentral:rRNA from 1 species
AUACGUAGGGUGCGAGCGUUAAUCGGAAUUACUGGGCGUAAAGCGUGCGCAGGCGGUUAUAUAAGAAAGGUGUGAAAUCCCCGGGCUCAACCUGGGAAUUGCAUCUGUGACUGUAUAGCUAGAGUACGGUAGAGGGGGAUGGAAUUCCGCGGGUAGCAGUGAAAUGCGUAGAUAUGCGGAGGAACACCGAUGGCGAAGGCAAUCCCCUGGACCUGUACUGACGCUCAUGCACGAAAGCGUGGGGAGCAAACAGGAUUAGAUACCCUGGUAGUCCACGCCCUAAACGAUGUCAACUGGUUGUUGGGUGCAUUAGUACUCAGUAACGAAGCUAACGCGUGAAGUUGACCGCCUGGGGAGUACGGCCGCAAGGUUGAAACUCAAAUGAAUUGACGGGG